rnacentral:snoRNA from 1 species
UGGACUAAUGAUGAGAGUGUGUCAUGAACCAAGGAUUAUGAUUAACCAAAUUCUGCCCAUCUGAGGUCUUAG